rnacentral:rRNA from 1 species
UACGGAAGGCAGCAGUGGGGAAUAUUGCACAAUGGGCGCAAGCCUGAUGCAGCCAUGCCGCGUGUAUGAAGAAGGCCUUCGGGUUGUAAAGUACUUUCAGUCGUGAGGAAGGUGUUAAGGUUAAUAACCUUAGCAAUUGACGUUAGCGACAGAAGAAGCACCGGCUAACUCCGUGCCAGCAGCCGCGGUAAUACGGAGGGUGCGAGCGUUAAUCGGAAUUACUGGGCGUAAAGGGCACGCAGGCGGUUAAUAAGUUGGAUGUGAAAUCCCCGGGCUUAACCUGGGAAUGGCAUUCAAGACUGGUUAGCUAGAGUCUUGUAGAGGGGGUAGAAUUCCAUGUGUAGCGGUGAAAUGCGUAGAGAUGUGGAGGAAUACCGGUGGCGAAGGCGGCCCCUGGACAAGACUGACGCUCAUGUGCGAAAGCGUGGGGAGCAAACAGGAUUAAC